GGUCAUGAGCGCCAGCGCCAAGCCCCGGCUCGCUGGCCGGCAACCCUCCUUCCGCGGUGGGGUGCCCCGGGUGAGGACCAGGUCGAGACACGACCACCAACGUCAACGUGUCAGACAAGCGCGGACC
rnacentral:ncRNA from 2 species